GUCUGCAUUAGAACUGAUGAGUUUAAUAAGAAAUUAACCAACAUCAAGAUGGACGUGAAGAGGAGGAGUCAGAUGGCAGCGCUGACAGGUGGUGUGACUCUGUAUCUGUUCUGAUACUUAGAAGGGCCACUUCUGGCAUAUAUCUACGGGGUGACUCCUCCAAAGUUCAAUGAGCAGGACGAGAAGAAACAAGUCAAUCAUCUUUGGUGCAGCACCAUGCUGCCAAAACAGCUACAUGUGCAUCGCUUGCAGGGGAGUUAUGUCAAUUUACCUCCAACAUAGUGUCCCCUGCAAUGAAAGGGGGCUGCUAUGAUUCCAAAAAGUACAACACCAACUGCAGCAAAAGUGACAAGAGUUUCCAAGAUUCCAUCUACAAGCAACUUCAAAAGACUUUUUAAAUGCCAGAGUUAGCUCUAUGAGCAAAUAUUACAUCAACAAAAACUGACAAUUGACAGACAGACUCUCCUUUAUUACAACUUAUUUCAUAAAUGAUAACUUCAAUAAAAUGUGACUCAGCAACUGUUUUAAAUCAACAAACAUUCUUACAUAAACCUUUGAAGUCUUAUAGUAGAAUCAUAUGCCUGGAAGUCUUUGAUUAUUUUAUCUACUUAAAAAACUCACAAUCCACUUAAAUAUUGCUGACACUUAAAGCUUUGCAUAUUUUAUUCACUAUUGCAUUUCAUAAAUCUUUAUUUACCAGUCAACCUAUUCAUAUUCAAGUAAUCUAAUAUUAAAAUACAUAUGGAAAAGCACUUUCAUUUAAAGUGACAUCUAUCAAACAUUGUAAUCACCAAAAAAGGGCUCAUAAUCAUACAUUUUAUGAUAUGGUAUUUUUUACCAAUAGCUUAAUGUGUAAAUUGAUUAUUGUUUAGAGAGAUAAUAUGUUAAUUUAUUUGUUUUGUAAAUGUGUUUUUAAAUUGUUAUUUGUACUGUCAACACUAUUUUAACAUAUUUAUGAGUGUCAGCCUUCAUGUACUGUUUUGUUUAUUGUUAUAAUCAUCUUCUCCAUAAGUAAUGUCAGUGAUUAUCAAAAUGAUACAGCAUCAAAUUAAUUCAUAAUCAUUUUUAAAGGGACUCGUUCAUGUUUUAUAGGGUUAGACAUUGAUUUUUUUAUUUCGUAUGAAAUGUGAACAAAAUGCUUGUAGCAAUGAUAAAACACUACAAAAGUUCAAAUAAGCUUUGAAAAUAUGGCAUAAAAUGCUUUAUUUUGCCAAAGUCAGGCUAUUAAAAAUUAAAUCAUUUUAGGCUUAGAUUUACUAUUAAAAUGUUCUUUAUAUGAUUAUAGCAGUUGCUUUUUGGUCUUUCUUCAUAAAAGUUAGUAAAAUAAUUAAAUUUCAACAAUUUGAAAAUUAAUAAUCUAUUAACAGUACCUUUCUGAUAAUGAUUGCUACUAUUGUGUUGUUGUUUUUCAAGUUGAACUUUAUGUAAAAUGUCAAUUUUAAAUUCAAACAAAUUAAGUUUUCACUUAUUUCACAGAUAUAUGUUUUACCUUUGUCUUUUUCACUUUGUUGAAAUGAUAAUAAUGAUACAUCUAUGGAAUUCAAAUAUUAGCACAAACACUUCAUGUUAUCGAGAUA